GGAUUUUGGAGACGUUCCCAGAGGCAACACGAUUUUAUGUUUGCAUGCUAACAAAAUUGCCACGAAUGAGGUCGUGGAGAAGAAAAACACUGUUAUCUUGGGUUCAAUGUCGUUGAAUAAUCAACAUGUCUAUCCCUAACAACCAUCAUAUUGUUGUCGUACCAAACGAGACGGAGUUGAUGGAAUUGUUUUUUACUCGCUAUGUGAAUUGGACUCUUAACCAUGAAGAAUCUCCCCCACGGCAACAAAGUCCACCUAUUGUUGCAUCACCUCCUCGAAGAAAUAAGUACUAGUCGGAAACAUCUUCAACUGAAACAGUCACAAAUGCUUCUACCUCACAACAACCUCAAGCAGAAAGAACUUAUAUGUUAAACGACACAUCAAUAAGGUCGGUAAAGAAGAAGAAGACGAGCACAAAGGCAUUGGUGAAGCAUCUAAUAGGCGUUGUAGCUGACUUAACUUCUAAAAUAGACCGUGUAUUACAGGAAAAAAAUGAACCAGAUACAAGGUUUAGAGAGGAGGACAUGUUAAAUGAAGAGGAGGAAGAAACAUAUUAGCAUGGUACAAAGUUGCAUUGUGAUGAUACAUUUACACAUGGUUUGGAGGGGGAAGUUGGGCGUACACCUACAGGGAAAAAUAUUGAGUCGUCACCAGAUGUAGGUCAACAUCACAAAAAAAUAGUCAGUCCUAUUGUUAGGCUGCAAUGAACGAAGGGUGUUUCAUGGUAUCAGCAGACUCCAUUUACAGUGGUACAAAACUAAUAUUUUAAAUUUGGUGUAUUUUUAAAAUAUUACGUUAUUGACAAUUAAUUAACAUUUUAAUUUUUUAGAUCGAAUCCACACCAAAAUUGAAGAAAAUCACCAAACCAAGGAAAAAAAGCAGUGGAGUGUCUCGGAAAAGCAAAUGAAGACAUUAGUGAUGUUUCAAAUUAUCUACUGUUACAAUCCUUAUGUUGGUAGUACGUUGGGUUUUUGGAAUGAAUGGAAUAUGAUCUCUUCCAAACUCAACACUACAUACAGGCUGCAUCUACUCCAACUGGAUGUGGAGCUUUGGUCAAGGAGGUUACUUGCAGUUACUGACUCUUGGUGGUUAAUUUCUUCAGUAACAUUCAUUAAAUUUUAAAUACUUUUUAGACGAUAAUUUAUAUAAAUAUUUGUAACAUUUUUAUCUUAAAAUAUACAACAUAUUGCAAUAUGGAGUGCCUUACUCAUGGAAAGACGACUGUCGAACACAAGGUGGACGAUAUACCGUCAAGAACUCAAUUUGCAACCCGGAAAAAUCAUUUUUUAGGAAUGUAGCAAAUGGUGUUGGAGGCUAUCCCAAACGGAAGGAUGUGGAUAUGUGCUACAUUUAAAUACCUGGAAAGCACUCAUUUAUGAUUCAGCAUGAUCUAUAGAUUUCUUCUCAAAAGUACAUGAUUGGUGGAGAAUUGGAAAGUUUUGGGGAUAGUAUUAUCUCAGAGCUAGAUGUGAUUAAGUACUGGAACAAUUUCCCCGAUGGACACGGAGACAAUGCAAUUGUGGAGUUUGUUGAAACUAUAGACGCGCCACAACAAAAAUACAUCGAAGAUAGAGGGGAUUGUGGAGUAUUCGUAUGCAUGUUUAUCGAAAUGAUUGUUUCGGGGGUACCGAUGAAGAUUGAUAGGCCACGUAGAGAUACGAGAUUUCUAUAUAGAAAUAGGAUGACAAAUAUUAUUUGGGACACUAUAUAACUUCAUUUUAGGAACUUUGUAUAUAUUAAUAUGAAAUACCUAUUUUUAGUAAUUUUGUUUAAUAUAAAUAUGUGUUUUAUUU